AGCGAACGCUGGCGGCAGGCCUAACACAUGCAAGUCGAACGGACCCUUCGGGGCUAGUGGCGGACGGGAGAGUAACACGUGGGAACGUGCCUUUAGGUUCGGAAUAGCUCCUGGAAACGGGUGGUAAUGCCGAAUGUGCCCUUCGGGGGAAAGAUUUAUCGCCUUUAGAGCGGCCCGCGUCUGAUUAGCUAGUUGGUGGUGUAACGGACCACCAAGGCGACGAUCAGUAGCUGGUCUGAGAGGAUGAUCAGCCACAUUGGGACUGAGACACGGCCCAAACUCCUAAGGGAGGCAGCAGUGGGGAAUCUUGCGCAAUGGGCGAAAGCCUGACGCAGCCAUGCCGCGUGAAUGAUGAAGGUCUUAGGAUUGUAAAAUUCUUUCACCGGGGACGAUAAUGACGGUACCCAGAGAAGAAGCCCCGGCUAACUUCGUGCCAGCCGCCGCGGUAAUAC
rnacentral:rRNA from 1 species